rnacentral:rRNA from 1 species
GUCGAGCGGACCGACGGGUAGCUUGCUCCCUUAGGUCAGCGGCGGACGGGUGAGUAACACGUGGGUAACCUGCCUGUAAGACUGGGAUAACUCCGGGAAACCGGGGCUAAUACCGGAUGCUUGAUUGAACCGCAUGGUUCAAUCAUGAAAGGCGGCUUCGGCUGCCGUUUACAGAUGGACCCGCGGCGCAUUAGCUAGUUGGUGAGGUAACGGCUCACCAAGGCGACGAUGCGUAGCCGACCUGAGAGGGUGAUCGGCCACACUGGGACUGAGACACGGCCCAGACUCCUACGGGAGGCAGCAGUAGGGAAUCUUCCGCAAUGGACGAAAGUCUGACGGAGCAACGCCGCGUGAGUGAUGAAGGUUUUCGGAUCGUAAAGCUCUGUUGUUAGGGAAGAACAAGUACCGUUCGAAUAGGGCGGUACCUUGACGGUACCUAACCAGAAAGCCACGGCUAACUACGUGCCAGCAGCCGCGGUAAUACGUAGGUGGCAAGCGUUGUCCGGAAUUAUUGGGCGUAGAGCGCGCGCAGGCGGUUUCUUAAGUCUGAUGUGAAAGCCCCCGGCUCAACCGGGGAGGGUCAUUGGAUACUGGGGAACUUGAGUGC